rnacentral:piRNA from 1 species
UGUAAACAUAUCGGGGCCAGUCAUCUU